rnacentral:rRNA from 1 species
GACGUAGGGCGCGAGCGUUGUCCGGAUUUAUUGGGCGUAAAGGGUCCGCAGGUGGCAAUGUGUGUCUGCUGUCAAAGAAUGAGGCUUAACCUCAUCAAGGCAGUGGAAACUACAUAGCUAGAGUACGGUCGGGGUAGAAGGAAUUCCUGGUGUAGCGGUGAAAUGCGUAGAGAUCAGGAAGAACACCGGUGGCGAAAGCGUUCUGCUAGACCUGUACUGACACUGAGGGACGAAAGCUAGGGGAGCGAAUGGG